AGUAACGCGGAGUGGACGGCGGCCUUGCGGGAGUCUGAAGUUUGUGUUCUGUGUGAAGUGUGGAUGGCCUUGACGUCAUUUUGCUGCCUCACGCCGAUCAUGUCGCUCGUGAAACCCGUGAAAAGUGAAGUAACUUUCGAGAUCGUAGGGGAAUUAACCUUCUAUUAAGCUAAUGUGCUAUUAGUGUCGGAAGGAAGUGAUGUAUGGAGAAAGCUGUCUCGUAAAAAAGUGAAUUGUAUCACCACCAACAACAACACCACGCCCGCUGUCGCCAGCCGGCUUGCUCGUAAAGAUUUUGCCCUGCCCUGCCUUGUUCGCGAUAUGGACGAAAUACAUAGCAGGUUCUUCAGAGACUGCAUUUCGACAGAAUUAUCUUUAUGGUUGGGGUGAUUCUUGAUCACAUAGGCAUUUAUAUGUAAAUUUUCAUGUCGAUCCGUAAUUAAUUAAGCACCCCAAUGAUUUUUUGUGUUAGUAGGGAUUGAAUUUCGCAGGAAAAAAAAUACCCUACUUUAUUUCUUUACUAACUCAACUCCUUUGGAUCAGGAACCCAAAACUGUUCACAAGACCUCCACCCGUCUAGUACAAGAUUU